GGGGGUGUUCUGGAUUCGACCCUAGGUUGGAGCGCGCAGCUGCCUGUCGAGAGUGAAGGUCUCUCGUUAAUCCCUCUUCAAAACAAACAAACGGCACAUUCGAAGAAAUGCCCCUGGCUGCCUAAAAAUUGCAGCCACGUUGCUACCCUGACACCUGCUAGGGGAUAGGAACGUCGACAGCAGGAAUAACGGUGACGGCCGUCGUGACGUCGCCGCGGUAUCUUCAAACCACGGCUGGUUCCCCGGAGCGCUCGCGGCUUGGUGCCCGGGGGAUGAGACUCUACAAGACGCUAUAUAGGUAGAUGCGGCGCGUGAAGGCCCGGGGCACAGGGGUUCAACUCCCCUCACCUCCACCA
rnacentral:tmRNA from 1 species